GAUGAACGCUGGCGGCGUGCCUAAUACAUGCAAGUCGAGCGAACAGACGAGGAGCUUGCUCCUCUGACGUUAGCGGUGGACGGGUGAGUAACACGUGGAUAACCUACCUAUAAGACUGGGAUAACUUCGGGAAACCGGAGCUAAUACCGGAUAACAUGUUGAACCGCAUGGUUCAACAAUGAAAGACGGUCUUGCUGUCACUUAUAGAUUGAUCCGCGCCGCAUUAGCUAGUUGGUAAGGUAACGGCUUACCAAGGCAACGAUGCGUAGCCGACCUGAGAGGGUGAUCGGCCACACUGGAACUGAGACACGGUCCAGACUCCUACGGGAGGCAGCAGUAGGGAAUCUUCCGCAAUGGGCGAAAGCCUGACGGAGCAACGCCGCGUGAGUGAAGAAGGUCUUCGGAUCGUAAAACUCUGUUAUUAGGGAAGAACAAAUGUGUAAGUAACUAUGCACGUCUUGACGGUACCUAAUCAGAAAGCCACGGCUAACUACGUG
rnacentral:rRNA from 1 species